rnacentral:rRNA from 1 species
CAGUCGCCGCGGGAAUACGAAGGUGGCAAGCGCUGUCCGGAAUUAUUGGGCGUAAAGGGCUCGCAGGCGGUUUCUUAAGUCUGAUGUGAAAGCCCCCGGCUCAACCGGGGAGGGUCAUUGGAAACUGGGAAACUUGAGUGCAGAAGAGGAGAGUGGAAUUCCACGUGUAGCGGUGAAAUGCGUAGAGAUGUGGAGGAACACCAGUGGCGAAGGCGACUCUCUGGUCUGUAACUGACGCUGAGGAGCGAAAGCGUGGGGAGCGAACAGGAUUAGAUACCCCUGUAGUCCCUGUCUCUUAUAC